ensembl:lncRNA
GAGAGUAGAUAGAUAGAUAGAUAGUUAAAGAAAGACAGAGUAGAUAGAUAGAUAAAAUAGAUAUAGAGAGAAGUAAAAAAAGAUCAAUAAACAAAUAAGAUAGAUAGAUAGACAGACAGACAGACAGAUAGAUAGAUAGACAGACAGAUAGAUAGAUAGAUAGAUAGACAGACAGAUAGAUAGAUAGAUAGAUAGAUAGAUAGACAGACAGACAGAUAGAUAGAUAGAUAGACAGACAGACAGAUAGAUAGAUUGAUAGACAGACAGAUAGAUAGAUAGAUAGAUAGAUAGACAGACAGACAGAUAGAUAGAUUGAUAGACAGACAGACAGAUAGAUAGAUAGAUAGAUAGAUAGAUAGAUAGACAGACAGACAGAUAGAUAGAUUGAUAGACAGACAGACAGAUAGAUAGAUAGAUAGAUAGAUAGAUAGAUAGACAGACAGACAGAUAGA